UUCCCGGUUGAUCCUGCCGGACCCCACUGCUAUCGGGAUAGGACUAAGACAUGCUAGUCAAGCGCUCGCCAGCCAAAGGUGAGUGCGGCGCACAGCUCAGUAACACGUGGCUAACCUGCCCUUGGGACAGGGACACCCCCGGGAAACUGGGGUUAAUCCCUGAUAGGUGAAGAACUCCGGAAUGAAUCUUCGCCCAAAAGACGCUUUCGCUAUGCUCGUGGGCGCCGCCCAAGGAUGGGGCCGCGACCGAUCAGGUAGUUGGUGAGGCAACGGCUCACCAAGCCUUUUACCGGUGCGGGCCGUGGGAGCGGGAGCCCGGAGAUGGGCACUGAGACAAGGGCCCAGGCCCUACGGGGCGCAGCAGUCGCGAAAACUUUGCAAUACACGAAAGUGUGACAGGGCUAUCCCGAGUGCCAUCCGCUGAGGAAGGCUUUUACCCAGUGUAGAAAGCUGGGGGAAUAAGGAGAGGGCAAGACUGGUGUCAGCCGCCGCGGUAAUACCAGCUCUCCGAGUGGUGUGGAUGUUUAUUGGGCCUAAAGCAUCCGUAGCUGGCUAGGCAAGUCCCCUGUUAAAUCCACCGAUUCAAUCGUUGGAGUGCGGGGGAUACUGCUUGGCUAGGGGGCGGGAGAGGCCGACGGUAUUUUCGGGGUAGGGGUGAAAUCCUAUAAUCCCGGGAAGACCACCAGUGGCGAAGGCUGUCGGCUAGAACGCGCCCGACGGUGAGGGAUGAAAGCUGGGGGAGCGAACCGGAUUAGAUACCCGGGUAGUCCCAGCUGUAAACGAUGCAGGCUAGGUGUCUGGGCGGCUACGCGCCGCUCUAGUGCCGCAAGGAAGCUGUUAAGCCUGCCGCCUGGGGAGUACGAUCGCAAGAUUGAAACUUAAAGGAAUUGGCGGGGGAGCACCACAAGGGGUGAAGCUUGCGGUUUAAUUGGAGUCAACGCCGGA
rnacentral:rRNA from 1 species